AGGGCAGGCAUGGGGCAGUGGGAAGGCCCUGCGGGUGGCAGCCCCUUGGACUUGGGUGCAUUUCUCUCCCACAGAAGUUCUUAUCCAGAUAUGGCUGGUCGGAGGGGCCUUCAUCCUGGGGUCCCAGCCCCAAGGAGCCAGCAGCAGCCCCUGUGGGCCCCACCCUGGCCGAAGCUGUGCGCAGGUUCCAGAGAGUGAAUGCGCUGCCAGCCAGUGGGAAGCUGGAUGCAGCUACCCUGGAGGCCAUGAACAGGCCUCGCUGUGGUGUCCCUGACACCCGGCUGCCAGCCCUGUCGACCCCUUCAGACCCACGGCCCAGGGCCCGAUCAAAGCGAUUCCUACAAAUGCUGCUACCCAGGCCAGGUGGGCAGCAGGAGGACUCCUCAGACAGUGGGGCCCUGAGGGCCUUCUCCAAAAAGACCCUGACCUGGAGACUGGUGGGCGAGGCCUACAGCAGCCAGCUCUCUGUGGACGAGCAGAGAUACAUCUUCAGACUGGCCUUCAGGAUGUGGAGUGAGGUGACACCGCUGGACUUCCGGGAGGAUCUCACUGCUCCUGGGGCCACAGUGGACAUAAAACUGGGUUUUGGGAGAGGUAAU
rnacentral:lncRNA from 1 species